UACGUAGGGUGCAAGCGUUGUCCGGAAUUAUUGGGCGUAAAGAGCUCGUAGGCGGUCUGUCGCGUCGGAUGUGAAAAUCCAGGGCUCAACCCUGGACCUGCAUUCGAUACGGGCAGGCUAGAGUUCGGCAGGGGAGACUGGAAUUCCUGGUGUAGCGGUGAAAUGCGCAGAUAUCAGGAGGAACACCGGUGGCGAAGGCGGGUCUCUGGGCCGAUACUGACGCUGAGGAGCGAAAGCGUGGGGAGCGAACAGG
rnacentral:rRNA from 1 species